AGAAGACAAACAAGACAGCCAUACUCACUUUUCUCAGGUACUGGACCGGGAAAUUGUGUAAAACACUGCAGGAGCCAAAGCUGUGACAGAAAGCAAAGAGAAGAG